UAAGCAUGCAUCUUUGAAACGUGGCUGGUGCAUUACAUAAUCCAAAACAUGGUUGUCAAAAACGAGUUUUAACUCGUAAAAUCGGACGAUUUACGAGUUAAAAUAGCUAAAACGAGUGAAAUCGGGUUAAAAACUCGAAAACCAGUAAAAUCGGGUCAAACUCGGUCCAACUCGUACAAACUCGGUCCAACUCGUUAAAAUCGGUAAAAGCGUACCGAGUUCACGAGUUUGCUAAAAAAUUAAAAGUCUUCUCACUGCUACUCCAUCUCCUGAUUUCAUUGCGCUCGACACUCCAUUCAGUGCACUCACACUCCCCCAAAUCUCAAAUUCUCAUAAUCUCAAGUCUCAGCCCUAACAAAUUAACAUCAGCUGAUUUCCCUCUCGACUGCUGCUGGUUUCACUCUCGACUCUCCACUCACCAGCAGCACAAAUAUAUAACCAGGGUUAUGUAAUUUAGCAGAGAGGAGGGGACACGUACUUCUGGUUUCUCAGUUAGAUCUUCAUCCUCCAGCAUCUCUCUGGCUGCUUGUAGUUUUUGACGCUUUUUACAGGGUAAAUCUUUAUGUUCAACAGAUAUUAGGUUUGUUUGGGAGAGCAAAUCUUUUCAAUCAGAAAAUGAUAACAUUAAAUUGCAGAAAAACAAUCAGUGUGAAUGCAGAUAAGUUAUGGGAAAAAAUAGGAGAUUUUACAGUUUAUAAUACGAGAUUACAGGGUUCUGUAGGUUUUUUUAUGGGAUUGGUGUUAAAGUUAAUAACAAAUUGUGUGAUAAUGAAGGUAUGUAUUUGUUACUUCACUUUUUACUUCACUUUCUGUUUAUUGACAUGGAAAAGUGGUAAGAUUAGGAUUUCAGCUGGUUUUAAAAAAUUGUCAUGCUCCUCUGUUGCUGCUACUCAUUGAGGGGAGUUGAUCUUCAGCCUCCUGGAGUGGAAGUAGGUAUUUAUAUCUAAUGGGAAACUCGUGCAUAAUUGAAUACAUGCUUUUAUAUAUGUAGAUAUGUGCAUAGUGUUAGUUUUUUGUUGCAUGCUCUAUUCCAGUGGAAUAUUUUCCAUCUUAGUUCAUAAAAAAUUUAUGUGUGUCUAGAUAUGAUGAGGGUUAUUCUUCAAUAAAGGCAAGUGGCCAUUUAAUCUGCUACUAGAUCUGAAUAAUUUGAUUGACAGUAAGGUUUUGAGAGACUACUACACAUUUGAUAUUGUUUUAACCAUAUGAAUGGCAAGAUAUUGGCUUGUACUUCUGUGCAAUGAAAAUAGAAAUGAAUUUGUAUUUGAAUUAUGUAUUUUAAGGUGUUUGGAUAUUUGUAUUGUUUAUUUUACUUUUAUUUUAAUUGUAUUGUAUUAUUAUUUACUACUUGACUGGAUCUUGCAAUUUAGUUAAAAUAUUUUACUUGCGAUUUUA